rnacentral:rRNA from 1 species
UACGGAGGGUGCAAGCGUUAUCCGGAUUUACUGGGUUUAAAGGGUGUGUAGGCGGGCUUUUAAGUCAGUGGUGAAAUCUCCGGGCUCAACCCGGAAACUGCCAUUGAUACUAUUAGUCUUGAAUUUUGUUGAGGUAGGCGGAAUAAGUCAUGUAGCGGUGAAAUGCAUAGAUAUGUCACAGAACACCAAUUGCGAAGGCAGCUUACUAAGCUAUGAUUGACGCUGAGGCACGAAAGCGUGGGGAUCAAACAGG